rnacentral:misc_RNA from 1 species
GUUUACAGUCAUCUGCUUCUCUUCUCUGUUUCUGCUUUAACUAAUUACGAAUCGAUUCUCUAGUUGUUCUUGAUUAAUUAAGAGAGAUAUGGAUGUUGAUCUAACCCCAAAGUUGGCUAAGCAAAUUUAUGGAGGAGAUGGUGGUUCUUAUCAUGCAUGGUGCCCUAAUGAGCUUCCCAUGUUGAAGGAAGGAAAUAUUGGCGCUGCCAAAAUUGCUCUGUCAAAGAAUGGAUUUGCUUUGCCUCGUUACUCUGAUUCUGCUAAGGUCGCUUAUGUUCUUCAAGGCUGUGGAGUUGCUGGAAUUGUUCUUCCUGAGAAAGAAGAGAAGGUGAUAGCCAUUAAGAAGGGUGAUGCUAUUGCUCUUCCUUUUGGUGUUGUAACAUGGUGGUACAACAAAGACGAUACGGAACUUGUGCUUCUCUUCCUUGGUGAUACCAAAACUGCACACAAGGCUGGUUCCUUCACUGACAUGUACUUGACAGGCUCCAACGGGAUUUUCACUGGUUUCUCAACUGAGUUUGUUAGCAGGGCAUGGGAUGUUGAAGAGAGUGUUGCUAAGACUCUAGUUAGCUCCCAGACUGCUAAGGGGAUUGUGAAGCUGGAUGCAGGGUUCCAAAUGCCUGAGCCUAAGCAAUCCAACAGGGAUGGCAUGGUUGUCAACUGUGAGGAAGCCCCAUUGGAUGUGGAUAUCAGGGGUGGUGGAAAGGUGGUGGUUUUGAAUACCAAGAACUUGCCAUUGGUUGGUGAAGUUGGACUUGGUGCUGAUCUUGUUAGGUUGGAUGGAAGUGCUAUGUGUUCUCCCGGUUUUUCAUGUGACUCAGCCCUUCAGGUUACUUACAUUGUGAGAGGCAGUGGUCGAGUUGAGGUUGUUGGCCCUGAUGGUAAGCGUGUUCUGGAAGCACACCUCAAAGCCGGUAAUCUGUUCAUUGUUCCAAGGUUCUGUGUUGUCUCAAAAAUUGGUGAUCCUGAUGGCAUGGAUUGGUUCUCCAUCAUCACUACCCCAAAUCCAAUAUUCACUCACUUGGCUGGAAAGACUUCAACCUGGAAGGCUCUAUCCCCACAAGUGCUGCAGGCUGCUUUUAAGGUCUCACCUGAUGUGGAGAAGCUAUUCAGCUCCAAGAGAAGUGCAGAAGAGAUUUUCUUCCCGCCACCAAACUGAGUGGCUCUGGGAAUUAAUUGUGGCUCUCUUAGAUUUACUUAUCUUGUCUCCAUCUAUCUUUAUCUUUACAUAAUUUAGUUGCUCUUUUAUUUGGUUAUAAAAUAGACUUUUACUUUUAAUGCACUUUUUUUGUGCGAACGUUACAAGAAUAACGCUACUUAUUAAUUUUGUACCAUUUGAUAUUAGAAAAUGCUUGAAUUCAACUAUCAAG